AUGAAAUUCGCCUCUGCUCUGAAAUACGACAUUUUGGCGUUCUUUAAUGAUUUCUUCCAUGGGCAGGCUGAUCUAUCCGGCAUCAACUGGGCAUAUAUCGUGCUGCUUCCUAAGGUUGAGUCUCCUAUGGAGAUCACUAACUACAAGCCCAUCUCCCUAGUGCACAGUAUCAUCAAGUUGCUCACAAAAGUGCUCGCCUUGAGGUUACAACAAUUCAUA
rnacentral:rRNA from 1 species